rnacentral:sRNA from 1 species
AAAAGAAAUGGCCGAAACGUCAACCAUGAGAAAAUGGGACAAAAGAAAAACCAUUGAACUAAUAAGAAUAAUUUUCGAACAUAGAGAAAACAUUUCUGACAAACAGAACACUGAGGCUUGGAACGACAUUGUAAAGCAUUUGAAUAACAAGCAAUUUAAUAGGAAAAAAGCAAAGGUGAAAGAAAAGUGGCGAAGCAUAAUAACAGACUAUGGAAUGGGACGUUUCAGAGAGAAAGCCGAAUUCUAUACAGAAGUAAAGGAAAAAGUGGGUGUGAUUCUAAGUGCAAGAAGGCAACAAUCAGGAUCUAGCGAAGAUGAGGACGAAAACCUUACUGAUGACAAAAGCAGCAAAUCAUCUUCAGAGGACAGCAUACCUACCAAUGAGUAUCGGGAAAAGAUAAAUGAGCUCACCUGCAAAAAGCUGGAACUUGAAACGCACAUUUUGGAGAUUCAAUUAAAUGAUCUUAAGAAAAGAGCUUCUGGUGGGGAUGCUCCCUUUCCAUUACCAAACAUUGCGUUUCCAUCACAACUUAUCAUUGAUGGAAGCAACAGCUUACCCCAAGGUGUGCCGAAUCCGGCCGAAACAGGCGUAUAUUCUGGGAAAACUUGACGAAAAAACUUUAAAACGUUGGAACUUCAUGUUGGAGAAUGAUCGAGUGAAGUAAAAAAAAAAAAGUAAAUCGAAAUUAAGCAAGCGUUUUUAUGACAUUUAAUUAACCUUAGCUUUGUGAUGGGAUCCACAUAAUCUGUGUAUUUUAUAUAGAAUGGUAUAGGGGUACAGGGAGUGUAUAUUUUAUUCUUUGUCAUAAUUAUGGAUAUAAAUAUUUAAAAUGUUAUUACAAUAUAAAAUGAAAUUU